GGGUGAGUCUGGUCCAGGGGCGCGUCCGUGGGUGAGCGGGAUCGCCAGUCCCGGGUCCUACCUGGAGCCGGAGUUAAGGGAAGGAAGAGGCAUCUCCUCACCUCGGGCUCCUGCAGCGCAUCCCCCGGGCUCUGGCCGUGCAGCGGGAGGGCGAUGGGCUCCUCUUCCCACCGGGAUCGCCGGCUACAGCCGGUGAGGUGUCCCCCGGUGCCCCAUCCCGAGCGAGGGGUGUAUCGCCGGCGGUGCCUCCCGAGCCAGGAGCGAAGGAAGGCGGCGAUGCGCACCGUGUUGUUUUGUCCCUGUCGGCAGUGAGGGGCCAUGAAAAGCCCGGGGGACGGGCAGGAGUCCCCAUGGAGCUGUACAAGACAGGAGGAUGCAGCCUGGACAUCGGGAUGCUGGUUGUAGGCUCAGCUUGGAGCAGGGGCUGCCUGGGACUCCUCACUGGGGGUAGAGAACCUGCAGCCUCCCCACGGGGGCAGAACUCACCUCUCCUUGCCUCCUGAGGGAAGGACAACACCCAUACAAGGAUGUGAUUCCCAGGAAACAAUGAUUGAGAUCCCGGUUUAACAGAACUCCCACUCCUUCCCUUCCAGCCUCAUCUGUCUGCAAAUGUUUUCCCAGCACUGAUUGAUCUGAGCACAGUUAUCUGGUGCAGAGUUGGAGAUGAAGGUUCUGAUGGAGCUUGAUUGAAUUGCCAAAAACCUGUUCGCUCAGUUAUGGCUCUGACAAAUGGAUCCAUCUGAGCUGCUGAGUUUAAUGUGCUUUUUUUUUAAAAUUUAGUACCAGCAUGUUCUUGUUCUGGGCUGGCAAGGGAGUGAAAGCCAAGGGGAAGGUGUCCAAAUAGCAUAAUUUUGUCCUGGUUCAAAACAAGGGCUUGUCAAGAGGAAAGUUGAAGGUCAUUUGGGUUAAAACCAAAUUUAAGAAAAAAAAUAAAAGGAUUGUGUUCUCAUC